UAGGGAAUCUUCCGCAAUGGACGAAAGUCUGACGGAGCAACGCCGCGUGAGUGAAGAAGGAUUUCGGUUCGUAAAACUCUGUUGUUAGGGAAGAAAAAAUGUAUAGUAACUAUAUACAAAAGAGACGGUACCUAACCAGAAAGCCACGGCUAACUACGUGCCAGCAGCCGCGGUAAUACGUAGGUGGCAAGCGUUGUCCGGAAUUAUUGGGCGUAAAGCGCGCGCAGGUGGUUUAGAAAGUCUGAUGUGAAAGCCCACGGCUCAACCGUGGAGGGUCAUUGGAAACUAAUAAACUUGAGUGCAGGAGAGAAAAGUGGAAUUCCUAGUGUAGCGGUGAAAUGCGUAGAGAUUAGGAGGAACACCGGUGGCGAAAGCGGCUUACUGGGCUCAUUCUGACGCUGAGGAACGAAAGCGUGGGUAGCAAACAGG
rnacentral:rRNA from 1 species